GUCUUCUGAUUGGGUUCCUUUCUGUUUCUUGGUGGCAGUUUAUAGAUUUGCAUGAGAAGAAGUCACGGAACUAGCAUUAUUUUGCCUUCUGUCUUUAUGGAGUAUAUUUGGCUAUUUUGUGAGAUGUUC
rnacentral:snoRNA from 1 species